UGGGGAAUUUUGCGCAAUGGGGGAAACCCUGACGCAGCAACGCCGCGUGCGGGAUGACGGCCCUCGGGUUGUAAACCGCUUUCAGCAGGGAAGAUAUUGACGGUACCUGCAGAAGAAGCUCCGGCUAACUACGUGCCAGCAGCCGCGGUAAUACGUAGGGAGCGAGCGUUAUCCGGAUUCAUUGGGCGUAAAGCGCGCGUAGGCGGCUGCCUAAGCGGAACCUCUAACCCCGGGGCUCAACCUCGGGCCGGGUUCCGAACUGGGCGGCUCGAGUGCGGUAGAGGAGAGCGGAAUUCCCGGUGU
rnacentral:rRNA from 1 species